UACACAGACAUGGCACCGAAGUUUUGAAUAUCUGGAAUAUCCAGAUUUCCAUUUCCUUCUCGCCUCCUUCUUCUGCACCAAUCUCAUUCUACGGAAGAAAGCACUUGUUCUUACUGCUGCUAACAGGGAGACCAUGUUCUGUGUUUCCUUAUGAGAAGGAAGGACUGGUGGUGGUUUCGAUACACAUCUUUACGUAGCGCUGGCAGUAAGCCUACUGUAGGUCACCCAGCAGGUUUGGGUUUGAACUUUAGAAUGUCUGGAAAUGACCUUCCAGCAAGCACUAUUCAUAAAUUACAAAGAUUACUGUAUUUUAGCCAUCUUAGGCACGUAGGCUUUCAUAAGUAAGUGUAAGAACUUUAAUGCAACACAACUCAAUUUAGAAUAAUACAUUAUUUUUCAUCUGACACCACUAAAGGUGACAUUGCUACAGGAAAGAGCUGAAACACUGAUUCUUGCCUUAUUGCCCUGUUCAGUCUUCUGAAGACUGAUUUUAAUAAGAAGUGUAUCUGCAAAAAACACAGGUUGCUAUGCUAGCUAUCAGGGAAAGGGGAAAAGGGACAAGUCUUCUAAUAGCUCCUUUUACAGCUGAAGAGUAGCUGCUGGCUGAUGGGCGGAACACAGGGUCAAUGGAAGAAGAAUCCAUAUUAAAAACCGAAGAAAAAGCAGAUCAGCAAAUUAUUCGUGACACAUUUCUGCUGUAGGUGACAGCAUGCUAAGGAAGAUGUCUGCUGGCACAUGGAGCGGAUGAAUCACGAGAAUAGAAUGGACAAAUCAUGGAACUGUUUUAGGAUAGAGAGCCCUGUGUUCCGAGGAUCCAGGGGAGGAGAAGGGCGUACAUGGAAAAUGUGCAUACACACAGCAGACUUCAAGCAGUGACUGCACAUGCCUCAUUAGUUCUCAUUUAGGAGGAAGUGGAAAAAAACCCAGCAAGAAUGCCCUCAGCAGCUCCCCGCCCUGCAGCCCAGCCCCGCAGAUCUAUUUUCAGUAGCUGCACUGAGACACGGCAGGCAGUCAUAGCGCAGAGAUUGGCGGCACUGCGGAAACACGGCUCGGCUCAGCAGAGCUCACAGCUCCGCAAUCGCAGCUGCUCUGUGUGUGAAACUGCUGGGAACGACGAAGAAACGCCGUGUGGCUCCGUGCCUUCGGUGGCUGGAAGCACACAGCUCAAGGACCUUUUCUCUACUAGACCAGGCGGUCUCUGGAAGUUUUUCAGUCCCUGUGCUGCCACAGUGGCUUGUUGUUAGCAGAAGUAUCUGACCAGUUUCUAGACACGAAUGCCUCAGAAUCAGUGAAAAGUUUUGCAAUGGAAAUUUCUCUGGUAAUUGCUUGGUUUAACAUGGGGCAUGCUUAGCUGGCCCUCCCAGCACUGCACAGGGCUCAGCUCUUUCCUCCUAAGGGUUUGUGUUUGACGGACAUAAACCUUUUCUCCCCUCUCCCCACUGGAAACAAUCUAAUGAAAUAAUUUUUAGUUGAUUUUUUUC